rnacentral:rRNA from 1 species
UCAAAUUUGAAAUCUGGCGUCCUCAGGGCGUCCGAGUUGUAAUCUAUAGAGGCGUUUUCCGUGCCGGACCGUGUCCAAGUCCCUUGGAACAGGGUAUCAAAGAGGGUGACAAUCCCGUACUUGACACGACUACCGGUGCUCUGUGAUACGUCUUCUACGAGUCGAGUUGUUUGGGAAUGCAGCUCAAAAUGGGUGGUGAGUUCCAUCUAAAGCUAAAUAUUGGCGAGAGACCGAUAGCGAACAAGUACCGUGAGGGAAAGAUGAAAAGCACUUUGGAAAGAGAGUUAAACAGUACGUGAAAUUGUUGAAAGGGAAACGAUUGAAGUCAGUCGUGACCGAGAGGCUCAGCCGGCUCUGCCGGUGUAUUCCCCUCGGUCGGGUCAACAUCAGUUUUGUCCGGUGGAUAAGGGCGGCAGGAAUGUGGCACCCUCGGGUGUGUUAUAGCCUGCUGUCGCAUACACCGGGUGAGACUGAGGAACGCAGCUCGCCUUUAUGGCCGGGGCCCGCCCACGUACGAGCUUAGGAUGUUGACGUAAUGGCUUUAAACGACCCGUCUUG